UCCAGACCAAACUCACUCGGAAAGUGGACACAUUGUUUCCGCUGCUCUACGAGACCUCACCAUUUCCAAUUAUUUUCAGCCAAACAAUUCGCUACAGGAAAUCAGUUCCAGAUCCACCUCUAGCCUACCAUGUCUGAACCAGGUUGUGGUGUUCCAGCCCAGAGAAGCUCACAGCAGGGUCCAGAGUUGCUGUCAGUGAAGCUGGGGGACUGCAGUCAAACAGUCGAACUCAAUGUGAUUGUCAAAGACGAGGAGGAGGAGAGAGAAAUCAAUGAGGGGGAGGAGGAAGAGCGAGAGGAGGACAGGGCCUCUGUUGACUCAGGAGAGAUCCCCAACCCAGACUCAGUCAACGAGCCCAGUUCCACAGAAUCAAUACUACCACCUGGUUGUGGGAGUUACCCCUGUCCUCAAUGUGAGAAGAGUUUCAGUUCCUCAACUAACCUAAAGAAUCAUCAAAGAGUACACACUGGAGAAAAACCUUUUGACUGCUCAGCAUGUGGGAAGAGUUUCAGUGAGAAAGUAAACCUUAAGAGACAUGAGAGAGUACAUAGUGGAGAGAAGCCUUACCACUGCACCCAAUGUGGGAAGAGCUUCAAUCAUUCUGGAAGCCUUAAGGAACAUGAGAGAAUACAUACAGGGGAGAAGCCUUACCACUGCUCUCUGUGUGGAAAGAAUUUUCGUGUCGCAGGAGGCCUAAAGAAUCAUCAGAGAUCACACAGUGGAGAGAAGCCUUACCACUGCACUCAGUGUGGGGAGGGAUUCACUCAGCUAAGAAGUCUUAAAAAUCAUGAGAGAAUACCCAUUGGAGGGAAGCCUGCCUGUCCUUUCAAUGUAAUUGUACAAGAGGAGGAGGGUGAGAGGGGCAUCGAUGUGGAGGAAAAGAGAGAAGUUGAGGGAGAGGAGGACAAAAGUGGUGUAGUAAACAGUGCAUGUCAGAGCAAAAACCAAACCAUGAGGUCGAAGGAAUUGUCCGUAGAGCUCCGUGACAGGAUUGUGUCGAGGCACAGAUCUGGGGAAGGGUACCAAA